rnacentral:sRNA from 1 species
AUAACGCAAACGUGGGAAGCGGCGUGCUUCCCGUGUAUGAUUGAACCCGCGAACCGCCCCAGCCACACCGGAGCGGUCUGUUUCGGGUUCAUUUUUUG